GUGAAACGAAAAGUGAUUUUUACGAAAAACAGUAAAAUAUUUUUUCGUGUUAAUGGUAAACUAAACGUAGUACCCUAUGUACAAAUUUUUGCUUAUGGUUAUGCCGUUCGUGUCAAUUGGGACUUACCAGAGAGUUUAUACAGAAGACAUAAAUUUUUCAAGAGGGAUUUACACUCGGAAUUAGAAAAUAUAAAAUUUGACCAAAGUGAACAUUUUCAAACAUACGCAUGUUUAUUCACAUACGUGUGUAAUCAAAUAAGUAGAAUAUCAACAUCGAAAGAAAAUGGCCGUAAAUGUGGGGUUAUGUGUUCCAUCGG